rfam:Halanaerobium hydrogeniformans chromosome, complete genome.
UAUUCUUUUAAAUUAGUCCAGCGAGGCUAGUAAGGGAAAAUAUAGAAUUUAAAUACCUUCUUAUUUGCCCUAAGAAGGUUUUUUUAUG